rnacentral:tRNA from 1 species
GGUCCUGUAGCUCAGUGGUUAGAGCGAUGGUCUUAUGAGCCAUAGGCCGUGGGUUCGAUCUCCGCCGGGUCUA